rnacentral:tRNA from 1 species
GGCUUCACAGCUCACUGUCAGUGGCUUCAUACUUGGUUAAAGCGUCGCACCGGUAUCGCGAGGUCACGGGUUCAAAUCCCGUUGAAGUCC